rnacentral:rRNA from 1 species
CAGUCGAGCGAACAGAUCAGGAGCUUGCUCCUUUGAAGUUAGCGGCGGACGGGUGAGUAACACGUGGGUAACCUACCUAUAAGACUGGAAUAACUUCGGGAAACCGGAGCUAAUGCCGGAUAACAUAUAGAACCGCAUGGUUCUAUAGUGAAAGAUGGUUUUGCUAUCACUUAUAGAUGGACCCGCGCCGUAUUAGCUAGUUGGUAAGGUAAAGGCUUACCAAGGCGACGAUACGUAGCCGACCUGAGAGGGUGAUCGGCCACACUGGAACUGAGACACGGUCCAGACUCCUACGGGAGGCAGCAGUAGGGAAUCUUCCGCAAUGGGCGAAAGCCUGACGGAGCAACGCCGCGUGAGUGAUGAAGGUUUUCGGAUCGUAAAACUCUGUUAUUAGGGAAGAACAAAUGCGUAAGUAACUGUGCGCAUCUUGACGGUACCUAAUCAGAAAGCCACGGCUAACUACGUGCCAGCAGCCGCGGUAAUACGUAGGUGGCAAGCGUUAUCCGGAAUUAUUGGGCGUAAAGCGCGCGUAGGCGGUUUCUUAAGUCUGAUGUGAAAGCCCACGGCUCAACCGUGGAGGGUCAUUGGAAACUGGGAAACUUGAGUGCAGAAGAGGAAAGUGGAAUUCCAUGUGUAGCGGUGAAAUGCGCAGAGAUAUGGAGGAACACCAGUGGCGAACGCGACUUUUCUGGUCUGUAACUGACGCUGAUGUGCGAAAGCGUGGGGAUCAAACAGGAUUAGCAUACCCUGGUCGUCCACGCCGUAACGAUGA